GGGCUUGAAGCCUCCGGGUCUUAGUUUUGCAAAGACUAAAGCGGGUUUAACCCCAAGCCUU
rnacentral:tRNA from 1 species